rnacentral:rRNA from 1 species
AUUGAACGCUGGCGGCAUGCCUUACACAUGCAAGUCGAACGAUAACAGGUCUUCGGAUGCUGAAGAGUGGCGAACGGGUGAGUAAUACAUCGGAACGUGCCUAGUAGUGGGGGAUAACUACUCGAAAGAGUGGCUAAUACCGCAUGAGAUCUACGGAUGAAAGCAGUGGAUCGGAAGACCUUCUGCUACUAGAGCGGCCCGUGCCGGGUCAGGUAGCUGGUGGUAUAAAAGCUUACCAAGCCGACGUUCUGUAGCUGGUCUGGGAGGACGAUCAGCGACACUGGGACUGAGCCACGGCCCAGACUCCUACGGGAGGCAGCAGUGGGGAAUUUUGGACAAUGGGCGAAAGCCUGAUCCAGCAAUGCCGCGUGCAGGAUGAAGGCCUUCGGGUUGUAAACUGCUUUUGUACGGAACGAAAAGCUCUGGGUUAAUACCCUGGGGUCAUGACGGUACCGUAAGAAUAAGCACCGGCUAACUACGUGCCAGCCGCCGCGGUAACAC